CAGUCGCCACGGUAAUACGUAGGGUGCGAGCGUUACUCGGAAUUACUGGGCGUAAAGCGUGCGUAGGUGGUGGUUUAAGUCCGUUGUGAAAGCCCUGGGCUCAACCUGGGAAUUGCAGUGGAUACUGGGUCACUAGAGUGUGGUAGAGGACAGUGGAAUUUCCGGUGUAGCAGUGAAAUGCGUAGAGAUCGGAAGGAACAUCUGUGGCGAAGGCGACUAUCUGGGCCAACACUGACACUGAGGCACGAAAGCGUGGGGAGCAAACAGGAUUAGAUACCCCCGUAGUCCCUGUCUCUUAUAA
rnacentral:rRNA from 1 species